GACGAACGCUGGCGGCGUGCCUAACACAUGCAAGUUGAGCGCUGAAGGUUGGUACUUGUACCGACUGGAUGAGCAGCGAACGGGUGAGUAACGCGUGGGGAAUCUGCCUUUGAGCGGGGGACAACAUUUGGAAACGAAUGCUAAUACCGCUUAAAAACUUUAAACACAAGUUUUAAGUUUGAAAGAUGCAAUUGCAUCACUCAAAGAUGAUCCCGCGUUGUAUUAGCUAGUUGGUGAGGUAAAGGCUCACCAAGGCGAUGAUACAUAGCCGACCUGAGAGGGUGAUCGGCCACAUUGGGACUGAGACACGGCCCAAACUCCUACGGGAGGCAGCAGUAGGGAAUCUUCGGCAAUGGACGAAAGUCUGACCGAGCAACGCCGCGGGAGUGAAGAAGGUUUUCGGAUCGUAAAACUCUGUUGGUAGAGAAGAACGUUGGUGAGAGUGGAAAGCUCAUCAAGUGACGGUAACUACCCAGAAAGGGACGGCUAACUACGUG
rnacentral:rRNA from 1 species